rnacentral:lncRNA from 1 species
AUCAAUCUGUGGAUCGGCAGCAAACUGACUAGGGUUUUCCAUAUAAUCUAACAAAUCUAAUCCUAACAUGAAGCAUGGAUUGUGAAGGGUAACCUUGAUGUAACCUUGAUAUAAAGAUUGACAUCAUGAAUAAGAGUAGAUCACAUCCACAGAUAUAUAUAAUAUAACACCACCAAGUAUAGCAAGAGCCUAUCAUCUUCUCAUUGUAGUUCCAGCCAAAGCGGUAACCAACCUUUGUAGCACCUUGAUAAAGAGUCAUCUCUCAGAACGGCGGCUCGCAAGCGGCCUACUUUCUCAUGGUUGCCACUGCGAGGUGCGUGUUGACACCUCCAUUUUCCCAAAGUUUUACUUCAAAUGACUCCCACAAUACUCACCAUCAUUCUACUCAACAUUAUGCAAUCGUUCGGCCUUUUCCCUCCCACAUGUUGUCACCACGCAAGGGUAAUCACAC